CCUACGGGGGGCAGCAGUGGGGAAUAUUGCACAAUGGGGGAAACCCUGAUCCAGCGACGCCGCGUGAGUGAAGAAGUAUUUCGGUAUGUAAAGCUCUAUCAGCAGGGAAGAAAAUGACGGUACCUGACCAAGAAGCCCCGGCUAACUACGUGUCAGCAGCCGCGGUAAUACGUAGGGGGCAAGCGUUAUCCGGAUUUACUGGGUGUAAAGGGAGCGUAGACGGUUAUGGAGGUCUGGAGUGAAAUCCCGGGGCCAAACCCCGGGACUGCUUUGGAAACUGUGUAACUGGAGUACAGGAGGGGCAGGUGGAAUUCGUGGGGUAGCGGUGAAAUGCGUAGAUAUCAGGAGGA
rnacentral:rRNA from 1 species